rnacentral:rRNA from 1 species
AGGGUGUAAACGCUGCAGACUUGGUGUUGGAGGCCCUUUGGGGGCAUUCAGUGCCGGAGAGAAGUUGUUAAGUCUGCUACUUGGGGAGUACGUCCGCAAGGAUGAAACUUAAAGGAAUUGGCGGGGGAGCACCGCAACGGGAGGAGCGUGCGGUUUAAUUGGAUUCAACGCCGAAAAACUCACCAGCAGCGACUGUUACAUGAAAGUCAGGUUGAUGACCUUACUAGAUUUUCAGAGAGGUGGUGCAUGGCGUAGACGUCU